rnacentral:rRNA from 1 species
AAAUUGAAGAGUUUGAUCAUGGCUCAGAUUGAACGCUGGCGGCAGGCCUAACACAUGCAAGUCGAACGGUAACAGGAAGCAGCUUGCUGCUUCGCUGACGAGUGGCGGACGGGUGAGUAAUGUCUGGGAAACUGCCUGAUGGAGGGGGAUAACUACUGGAAACGGUGGCUAAUACCGCAUAACGUCGCAAGACCAAAGAGGGGGACCUUCGGGCCUCUUGCCAUCAGAUGUGCCCAGAUGGGAUUAGCUUGUUGGUGAGGUAACGGCUCACCAAGGCGACGAUCCCUAGCUGGUCUGAGAGGAUGACCAGCCACACUGGAACUGAGACACGGUCCAGACUCCUACGGGAGGCAGCAGUGGGGAAUAUUGCACAAUGGGCGCAAGCCUGAUGCAGCCAUGCCGCGUGUAUGAAGAAGGCCUUCGGGUUGUAAAGUACUUUCAGCGGGGAGGAAGGUGUUGUGGUUAAUAACCGCAGCAAUUGACGUUACCCGCAGAAGAAGCACCGGCUAACUCCGUGCCAGCAGCCGCGGUAAUACGGAGGGUGCAAGCGUUAAUCGGAAUUACUGGGCGUAAAGCGCACGCAGGCGGUCUGUCAAGUCGGAUGUGAAAUCCCCGGGCUCAACCUGGGAACUGCAUUCGAAACUGGCAGGCUUGAGUCUUGUAGAGGGGGGUAGAAUUCCAGGUGUAGCGGUGAAAUGCGUAGAGAUCUGGAGGAAUACCGGUGGCGAAGGCGGCCCCCUGGACAAAGACUGACGCUCAGGUGCGAAAGCGUGGGGA